rfam:Clostridium autoethanogenum DSM 10061, complete genome.
AUCUUAUCAAGAGUGGCGGAGGGACUGGCCCUAUGAAACCCGACAACCAACAUUUUUCAUUUGAAUGUAUGGUGUUAAUUCCAGCAGAUUAUUUCUGAAAGAUAAGGA